AAACGAUAGGUGUCGCUGUUUUCGAGACCUAAACAAAAUGGCCGACGUUUGAUUUUUUUUUCUCGACAGGACCAAGAAUUUCCCUCGCCGACGUCGAGAAUGAAACUGUUAAAGCCCAGUUGGGUAACUCACGAUGGUAAACCCAUCUUCUCCAUCGACAUCCAUCCAGACGGCUCCAGGUUUGCCACAGGAGGCCAGGGUGAAGACUCAGGGAAGGUAGCGGUGUGGAAUAUGGCACCUGUACGGAGUGAGGAGGAUGAGAAG